GAUGAACGCUGGCGGCGUGCCUAAUACAUGCAAGUCGAGCGAAUGGAUUAAGAGCUUGCUCUUAUGAAGUUAGCGGCGGACGGGUGAGUAACACGUGGGUAACCUGCCCAUAAGACUGGGAUAGCUCCGGGAAACCGGGGCCAAUACCGGAUAACAUUUUGAACCGCAUGGUUCGAAAUUGAAAGGCGGCUUCGGCUGUCACUUAUGGAUGGACCCGCGUCGCAUUAGCUAGUUGGUGAGGUAACGGCUCACCAAGGCAACGAUGCGUAGCCGACCUGAGAGGGUGAUCGGCCACACUGGGACUGAGACACGGCCCAGACUCCGACGGGAGGCAGCAGUAGGGAAUCUUCCGCAAUGGACGAAAGUCUGACGGAGCAACGCCGCGUGAGUGAUGAAGGCUUUCGGGUCGUAAAACUCUGUUGUUAGGGAAGAACAAGUGCUAGUUGAAUAAGCUGGCACCUUGACGGUACCUAACCAGAAAGCCACGGCUAACUACGUGCCAGCCGCCGCGGUAA
rnacentral:rRNA from 1 species